rnacentral:rRNA from 1 species
GAACUAACAGAUUUACUUCGGUAAUGACGUUAGGAAAGCGAGCGGCGGAUGGGUGAGUAACACGUGGGGAACCUGCCCCAUAGUCUGGGAUACCACUUGGAAACAGGUGCUAAUACCGGAUAAGAAAGCAGAUCGCAUGAUCAGCUUUUAAAAGGCGGCGUAAGCUGUCGCUAUGGGAUGGCCCCGCGGUGCAUUAGCUAGUUGGUAAGGUAAAGGCUUACCAAGGCGAUGAUGCAUAGCCGAGUUGAGAGACUGAUCGGCCACAUUGGGACUGAGACACGGCCCAAACUCCUACGGGAGGCAGCAGUAGGGAAUCUUCCACAAUGGACGCAAGUCUGACGGAGCAACGCCCCGUGAGUGAAGAAGGUUUUCGGAUCGUAAAGCUCUGUUGUUGGUGAAGAAGGAUAGAGGUAGUAACUGGCCUUUAUUUGACGGUAAUCAACCAGAAAGUCACGGCUAACUACGUGCCAGCAGCCGCGGUAAUACGUAGGUGGCAAGCGUUGUCCGGAUUUAUUGGGCGUAAAGCGAGCGCAGGCGGAAGAAUAAGUCUGAUGUGAAAGCCCUCGGCUUAACCGAGGAACUGCAUCGGAAACUGUUUUUCUUGAGUGCAGAAGAGGAGAGUGGAACUCCAUGUGUAGCGGUGGAAUGCGUAGAUAUAUGGAAGAACACCAGUGGCGAAGGCGGCUCUCUGGUCUGCAACUGACGCUGAGGCUCG